rnacentral:rRNA from 1 species
AUUGAACGCUGGCGGCAGGCCUAACACAUGCAAGUCGAAAGAGUGGCGGACGGGUGAGUAAUGUCUGGGAAACUGCCUGAUGGAGGGGGAUAACUACUGGGAACGGUAGCUAAUACCGACUACUAUCGGAUCGGCCGAGAUGGGAUUAGCUAGUAGGGGGGGUAAAGGCUCACCUAGGCGACGAUCCCUAGCUGGUCUGAGAGGAUGACCAGCCUCACUGGAACUGAGACACGGCCCAGACUCCUACGGGAGGCAGCAGUGGGGAAUAUGGCACAAUGGGCGCAAUCCUGAUGCAGCCAUGCCGCGUGUAUGAAGAAGGCCUUCGGGUUGUAAAGUACUUUCAGCGGGGAGGCGUUACCCGCAGAAGAAGCACCGGCUAACUCCGUGCCAGCCGCCGCGGUAAUUC